rnacentral:rRNA from 1 species
UACAGAGGUCCCAAGCGUUGUUCGGAUUCAUUGGGCGUAAAGGGUGCGUAGGCGGCGCGGUAAGUCGGGUGUGAAAUCUCGGAGCUUAACUCCGAAACUGCACUCGAUACUGCCGUGCUUGAGGACUGGAGAGGAGACUGGAAUUUACGGUGUAGCGGUGAAAUGCGUAGAUAUCGUAAGGAAGACCAGUGGCGAAGGCGGGUCUCUGGGCCGUAACUGACGCUGAGGAGCGAAAGCAUGGGUAGCGAACAGG